rnacentral:rRNA from 1 species
GACGAACGCUGGCGGCGUGCUUAACACAUGCAAGUCGAACAGAAAGGCCCCUUUGGGGGUCCUCGAGUGGCGAACGGGUGAGUAACACGUGAGUAAGCUGCCCUUGACUUCGGGAUAACUUCAGGAAACUGGGGCUAAUACCGGAUAGGAAUCCUUGCUGCAUGGGGGGGGUUGGAAAGCUUCGGCGGUUUUGGAUGGACUCGCGGCUUAUCAGCUUGUUGGUGGGGUAGUGGCUUACCAAGGCUUUGACGGGUAGCCGGCCUGAGAGGGCGACCGGCCACAUUGGGACUGAGAUACGGCCCAGACUCCUACGGGAGGCAGCAGUGGGGAAUAUUGCACAAUGGGCGGAAGCCUGAUGCAGCAACGCCGCGUGCGGGAUGACGGCCUUCGGGUUGUAAACCGCUUUCAGCAGGGGCGAAGCUUGUGGUGACGGUACCUGCAGAAGAAGCACCGGCUAACUACGUG